GGACGAACGCUGGCGGCGUGCCUAAUGCAUGCAAGUCGAACGCAUUCUUCGGAAUGAGUGGCGCACGGCUGAGGAACACGUGACUAACUUACUUCGGUGUGGGGGAUAACGGGUCGAAAGACUCGCUAAUCCCGCAUACGAUAUCCUUUGGAUAGGAAAGCCUUACGGCGCACUGGGCGGGGGUCGCGUCCCAUUAGAUGGUUGGUGUGGUAAUGGCGCACCAAGUCGAUGAUGGGUCUCUGGUCUGAGAGGACGACCAGACAGAUUGGGACUGAGACACGGCCCAAACUCCUACGGGGGGCAGCAGCAAGGAAUUUUCGGCAAUGGGCGCAAGCCUGACCGAGCAACGCCGCGUGGAGGAUGACGGCUCUUGGGUUGUAAACUCCUUUUGGGGGGGACGAUAAUGACGGUACCCUCCGAAUCAGGCCCGGCUAACUACGUGCCAGCAGCCGCGGUAAUACGUAGGGGCCAAGCGUUGUCCGGAAUUACUGGGCGUAAAGCGUGGGUAGGUGGUCGGUGAUGUGCCGCGUGAAAGCGCCGGAGUAAUGCCGGCGAGGUCGCGGUAGACACACGGACUAGAGGCUCGCAGAGGAACGUGGAAUUCCCGGUGUAGUGGUGAAAUGCGUAGAUAUCGGGAGGAACACCAGUGGCGCAAGCGGCGUUCUGGGCGAGACCUGACACUGAGCCACGACGGCGAGGGGAGCAAACAGGAUUAGAUACCCUGGUAGUCCACGCAGUAAACGAUGCAUACCAGGUGUGGGAUGGCGUUCGCGUCGUUCCGUGCCGCAGCUUACG
rnacentral:rRNA from 1 species